rnacentral:ribozyme from 12 species
GAGACGUAGGUCCCAAAUUGUAUUCUAGAGGGUGCUUGUAACAUUACAUAUAUUCUGUUUUUUUUUAUUGUUUUUUUAUGGUGUCCGUGGAGCACUUAAAAAAAAAAGUGAGGAGG